rnacentral:tRNA from 1 species
GGGGAUGUAGCUCAGUAGUAGAGUGCUUGCUUAGCAGGCGUGAGGCCCUGGGUUCCAUCCCCAGCAUUGCAA